UCCACUCCCGGCACCGCGAUCCAACCCCUACGACCCCGGGACCGCGCCCCCCCACCUCCCCGCAGAAUCAGGCCUCCGCUCCCCUUCGGGCAGGGGCCGCGACACACCCCAGACCCCGCGCCCCCUUUGAUACGUUGUCACAUCCAAGUGGCAAGAAAGUUCACAGGCUAAAUAAUGAUAUUUAAAAUCAUUUUAGGCAGGUAAGAGUGGAACGUCCCGCAGUGCGGAGAGCGCGGACAUCGAGCAUUUGGAGCUCCCUUCCAGAGAGAACUGGCGGGUCGAGGGGGGCUUUGUCGAGUGCUACGGGCCUGCUUCCCUGCACUUGUAAACUUCUGGGCCCAGACCCCUCCUCCCCACUGCUGAACUCAGUGCUGCAGACCACCUUGGGAAGAUGGGGAAUUCUCCAAAGCUGGUAGUAGACUUCCACCGUUUUUGCCUGUGUCAACAUUCAAGCAGACAUUUUGACACAUAGAUAAAUUCCUAAAUUACGGAAAAGUGUGAUCCUUCUUCAAUCAAAACUGGCUCUUUGUAGAUACCGCUCACACCUGUUGGGCUAAAAUCAGCAACACCAGGAACAGCAGGUGCUGACCAGGAUGCGGAGAAGGGGGACCCUCCUGCAGUGUUGGUGCAAUGCAAGCCGGUGCAGCGGCUCUGGAAGACAGUGUGGAGGGUCCUCAGAAAGUUAAAGAUAGAGCUACCCUACACCCCAGCAAUCGCACUACUGGGU